UACGUAGGGGGCAAGCGUUGUCCGGAAUCAUUGGGCGUAAAGAGCGUGUAGGCGGCCAGGUAGGUCAGCUGUGAAAACUCGAGGCUCAACUUCGAGAGGUCGGUUGAAACCAUCUGGCUAGAGUCCGGAAGAGGAGAGUGGAAUUCCCGGUGUAGCGGUGAAAUGCGCAGAUAUCGGGAAGAACACCCGUGGCGAAGGCGGCUCUCUGGGACGGUACUGACGCUGAGACGCGAAAGCGUGGGGAGCAAACAGG
rnacentral:rRNA from 1 species